rnacentral:rRNA from 1 species
GACGAACGCUGGCGGCGUGCUUAACACAUGCAAGUCGAACGGAAAGGCCCUGCUUUUGUGGGGUGCUCGAGUGGCGAACGGGUGAGUAACACGUGAGUAACCUGCCCUUGACUUUGGGAUAACUUCAGGAAACUGGGGCUAAUACCGGAUAGGAGCUCCUGCUGCAUGGUGGGGGUUGGAAAGUUUCGGCGGUUGGGGAUGGACUCGCGGCUUAUCAGCUUGUUGGUGGGGUAGUGGCUUACCAAGGCUUUGACGGGUAGCCGGCCUGAGAGGGUGAUCGGGCACGGUGGAAGUGAGAAACGGGCAAGAGUAGUACGGGAGGCAGCAGUGGGGAAUAGUGGACGAUGGGCGGAAGCGUGAUCGAGGCAUGUCGCGUGGGUGAAGAAGGUCGUCGGAUUGUAAAGGAAUUUAAGGUGGGAGGAAGGGAAGUAAGUUAAUAACUUGCUGUUUUGACGUUACCAACAGAAUAGGCACGGGCGAACUUCGUG